AGAACAACACAGACAUAUUAUUACAGCAUUUUAUGUUUAAUAAACAAUAUUCCAUAGCUUCACACAAGUUUAUAUAAAAAUGAAACAGUAGAAAAUAACAGUUUCACAGACCAGCAGGUCACAUUUCUUCUGUUGCAAUAAAUAAAUCUGAUUUCAUACAUUAAAUAUUAUUGUGUAUACAGCCAAUUAGUGUCCAAGACCACAAGAACUGACAAUCCAUUGGAAAGUGUUUUUGAAACCAUACUGAAGCUGGGUGCUGUUUAACAAGGCACACACAGGGCAUGCACUUAGCAGUAUCAAACUAAUAUAGCAUAAAUGAGAACCCGUUAAAUAGAUCAGGUCAUUCAACGUAGCAUUUAAAAAAAAAAAAAACUGUUAGAAGGGAGUGGAGGCAUAUAGUGAUGUCCCGAACGGUUCGCCGAACGGUUCGCCACGGACGUGAACAUAUGUGCUGUUCGGUCCGCCCCCUAUGUCAUCAUUGAGUAAACUUUGACCCUGUACCUCGCAGUCAGCAGACACAUUCCAGCCAAUCAGCAGCAGACCCUCCCUCCCAGACCCUCCCACCUCCUGGACAGCAUCCAUUUUGAAGCUGCAUUCUUAGUGAG